GAUGAACGCUAGCUACAGGCUUAACACAUGCAAGUCGAGGGGUAACAAGAGAAAAGCUUGCUUUUCUUGUUGACGACCGGCGCACGGGUGAGUAACGCGUAUCCAACCUGCCCAUAACUAGGGAAUAACCUUGCGAAAGUAAGACUAAUACCCUAUCAUUUCCUUUGCCGGCAUCUGCCGAGGAAUAAAGAUUUAUCGGUUAUGGAUGGGGAUGCGUCUGAUUAGCUUGUUGGCGGGGGAACGCCCCACCAAGGCAACGAUACGGAGGGGUUCUGAGAGGAAGGUCCCCCACAUUGGAACUGAGACAAGGUGCAAACUCCUACGGGAGGCAGCAGUGAGGAAUAUUGGUCAAUGGGCGGAAGCCUGAACCAGCCAAGUAGCGUGCAGGAUGACGGCCCUAUGGGUUGUAGACUGCUUUUAUACAGGAAUAAAGUUAGCCACGUGUGGUUAUUUGUAGGUACUGUAUGAAUAAGGACCGGCUAAUUCCGUGCCAGCAGCCGCGGUAA
rnacentral:rRNA from 1 species